rnacentral:lncRNA from 1 species
GUGUAAAGCGAGCAGCAGGUAGAAUGCAUGUCGGGAUGGCCUGGGAGGAACGCCAGAGGAAAUUGGAGUUGGAAAUGUAAGAUGUGUGCAAGAGUUUGUCUAAGGAAAAGCAAAGCCACUAUGUUUGGAAAAGGUCGAAAUCUCAUUAUUUUGCAAGAGAUGAAUUUAUUGAACAUGCAGAUGACAUUAUUCUACUGUUUUUGCGCUUUGAAAGUAAAAAACGUCUAAGGUACACAGAAAAGUAACGGGGCCCUCCAGUUUCUUCCUAUUGUCAUUAACCUAGCUGGGUGCCUUCGUAAGACAAUGAAAUAUUCUGAAGAAAAUAAUUUGUAAGUGUGAAUAUAUUACAUUUCUAUAAUAUUUGAAUUAUAUUAGUGGGGAAUUAUAUCUAUUGGGUUUAUCUGAUAUGAGAACCACUGAGCUAUUGGGGUACCUGAGGACCCCUGUAGUUUAGUGUGGUCUGCUAGUGGGAGAACCCCCAGAGCCCAGAAGUUAACACCCUGUGCUGUAUGUGCACGGCCUUAUCCUGGAGGCUUCCCACGCAGCCUCUUCUUCCUCUUCCUUAAUUUUGUGGGUAGACAAGGGAAAAGAAAGUAGCCAUACUCAAUGCUGAGGUUACAAAUUGCCUGGACUGUCUUGGAGUAGAUGGGCAGCCCAAAUCUGCUUAUUUCCACAUGAGAAAUAUUAACAUAGUCAGAGCCUGCCUUACGUUUAAGUCUCAGGAAAAGAGGAAUGUUUAAGGCUUCCAGUGUAAAAUAUGCUUAAAAUUCUACUACUGAAAUUAUUUUGAAGAAAUUGGCGUCUUCCAAAAUGAAGAAGCAACCCAUAAAGCUGUCUUUUCCUUUGUAACAGAGGAGGAAUAAAUUGAAAACUAAUAGGCUCUAAGCCUCUGUU